AAGUCGAGCGAACAGACGAGGAGCUUGCUCCUCUGACGUUAGCGGCGGACGGGUGAGUAACACGUGGAUAACCUACCUAUAAGACUGGGAUAACUUCGGGAAACCGGAGCUAAUACCGGAUAAUAUAUUGAACCGCAUGGUUCAAUAGUGAAAGACGGUUUUGCUGUCACUUAUAGAUGGAUCCGCGCCGCAUUAGCUAGUUGGUAAGGUAACGGCUUACCAAGGCAACGAUGCGUAGCCGACCUGAGAGGGUGAUCGGCCACACUGGAACUGAGACACGGUCCAGACUCCUACGGGAGGCAGCAGUAGGGAAUCUUCCGCAAUGGGCGAAAGCCUGACGGAGCAACGCCGCGUGAGUGAUGAAGGUCUUCGGAUCGUAAAACUCUGUUAUUAGGGAAGAACAAAUGUGUAAGUAACUAUGCACGUCUUGACGGUACCUAAUCAGAAAGCCACGGCUAACUACGUGCCAGCAGCCGCGGUAAUACGUAGGUGGCAAGCGUUAUCCGGAAUUAUUGGGCGUAAAGCGCGCGUAGGCGGUUUUUUAAGUCUGAUGUGAAAGCCCACGGCUCAACCGUGGAGGGUCAUUGGAAACUGGAAAACUUGAGUGCAGAAGAGGAAAGUGGAAUUCCAUGUGUAGCGGUGAAAUGCGCAGAGAUAUGGAGGAACACCAGUGGCGAAGGCGACUUUCUGGUCUGUAACUGACGCUGAUGUGCGAAAGCGUGGGGAUCAAACAGGAUUAGAUACCCUGGUAGUCCACGCCGUAAACGAUGAGUGCUAAGUGUUAGGGGGUUUCCGCCCCU
rnacentral:rRNA from 1 species